rnacentral:rRNA from 1 species
UACGGAGGGUGCAAGCGUUAAUCGGAAUUACUGGGCGUAAAGGGCUCGUAGGCGGCCAACUAAGUCAGACGUGAAAUCCCUCGGCUUAACCGGGGAACUGCGUCUGAUACUGGAUGGCUUGAGAUUGGGAGAGGGAUGCGGAAUUCCAGGUGUAGCGGUGAAAUGCGCAGAUAUCGGGAGGAACACCUAUGGCGAAGGCAGCUCGCUGGGACGUUACUGACGCUGAGACGCGAAAGCGUGGGGAGCAAAUAGG